UGACCUCAAACAAGCAAG
rnacentral:rRNA from 1 species